rnacentral:rRNA from 1 species
AUUGAACGCUGGCGGCAUGCCUUACACAUGCAAGUCGAACGGCAGCACGGGGGCAACCCUGGUGGCGAGUGGCGAACGGGUGAGUAAUACAUCGGAACGUGCCCGGUAGUGGGGGAUAGCUCGGCGAAAGCCGGAUUAAUACCGCAUACGACCUACGGGUGAAAGCGGGGACCGGCAGGCCUCGCGCUAUUGGAGCGGCCGAUGUCAGAUUAGGUUGUUGGUGGGGUAAAGGCCCACCAAGCCGACGAUCUGUAGCUGGUCUGAGAGGACGACCAGCCACACUGGGACUGAGACACGGCCCAGACUCCUACGGGAGGCAGCAGUGGGGAAUUUUGGACAAUGGGCGCAAGCCUGAUCCAGCCAUGCCGCGUGCGGAAGAAGCCU